GAAAUCCUACUCCUCGACGCAAAGGUUCAGAAUAUUUUAUCUAUGCAUAUGUUUCCGAUUGCAGAAAAAUAUCAUAAUUGGGCUGAGGAAGAACGGGAUAAACCAAACAACAGGAAGAACUGAAAAAAGAAGAUACUGUACAUCAGUUUCAGCAAAGACUGUGUACAAAAAUACCAUGUGAUCUGAAGACAUGAUGGACUAAGGUACACAUUUCUAAGAUCUAACAAUUUAUUGGGUUCAUAUUUUUCAUAUUCAUCAAGUAGUAUACUCCUAUUUACAAAGCCUUUGACAUAUUUUUG
rnacentral:lncRNA from 1 species